AUUCAGACCUAUUCAGAAUUCAAAUUAAUUCAGGUUUAUUCAGAUUACAGACAAAAAAACAAACGCCACCUAAGUGUUAUUAUUUCUUUUAGGCAUUUGACAAAUGGGCAAUUUCAGUUUACCAGUGCAUUGGAUUGAGUCGAAAGCUUUUCAUUGUUAGCGAUCAUGAUAUUCAAAUAUGGCUUAAAUUUUAGGUUAAAGAAAAGGAGAGAAGUAUACUUUAAUGGAUGAAUAAUUUCAGGAAUAGUGGUGAAUGGGGUUGGUCUACGUCAAUUUGGGAAUUAAUUCCAUUUCCUAAAUUUGAAAUUUCGACUUGCAACUUGAGAGUGAAUUUGGAGUCAAAUCUUUGGAUCAAAUUAUUUCAUUCCAUAUGUAAUGUGAAUGAAAACUUGUGUCAAAUCUUUCCUGUGGAAUUAUCAAUCCCCUUCCAAAUAUUUCGAAUUCAAUAAUUUAUGAAUUGGAAAUUUGGAUAAAUUUCAUAGAUUUCUCGUCAUUUUAACAAGAGAAAAAACUUCAAGGGGUGGUUAAACCAUCGAUCAGGAGUUUUUAUUUUGCUAGGUCUAGUGGUUCCCUAAUGGAAAUCGUAGUGGAACCAUUCACUCUAAUAUUAUGAGAUCCGUCAAAUUAUAAUAAAGAAUUUGUAGAACUAACCAUUAGACCUAUUAGAUUUGUAAGAUGACAAACUUCUAAUUGGGCGAGCACACUAACUUUAGCACGUUGAACAUGUGUUGAAAAGAGUUCAUGGUAAAAUAUAAAAGUUUAAAGUAACCCUCAAUUCAUGAUUGAAGUGGUGUUUA
rnacentral:lncRNA from 1 species